rnacentral:rRNA from 1 species
GAUGAACGCUGGCGGCGUGCCUAAUACAUGCAAGUCGAGCGAACAGACGAGGAGCUUGCUCCUCUGACGUUAGCGGCGGACGGGUGAGUAACACGUGGAUAACCUACCUAUAAGACUGGGAUAACUUCGGGAAACCGGAGCUAAUACCGGAUAAUAUAUUGAACCGCAUGGUUCAAUAGUGAAAGACGGUUUUGCUGUCACUUAUAGAUGGAUCCGCGCCGCAUUAGCUAGUUGGUAAGGUAACGGCUUACCAAGGCAACGAUGCGUAGCCGACCUGAGAGGGUGAUCGGCCACACUGGAACUGAGACACGGUCCAGACUCCUACGGGAGGCAGCAGUAGGGAAUCUUCCGCCCUGGGCGCCCGCCUGCCGGCGCCCCGCCGCGUGCGUGAUGAAGGUCUUCGGAUCGUAAAACUCUGUUAUUAGGGAAGAACAAAUGUGUACGUCCCUCUGCCCGUCUUGACGGUACCUCCUCAGAAAGCCACGGCUCACUACGUG